AUUGAACGCUGGCGGCAGGCCUAACACAUGCAAGUCGAACGGUAACAGGAAGCAGCUUGCUGCUUUGCUGACGAGUGGCGGACGGGUGAGUAAUGUCUGGGAAACUGCCCGAUGGAGGGGGAUAACUACUGGAAACGGUAGCUAAUACCGCAUAACGUCGCAAGACCAAAGAGGGGGACCUUAGGGCCUCUUGCCAUCGGAUGUGCCCAGAUGGGAUUAGUUAGUAGGUGGGGUAACGGCUCACCUAGGCGACGAUCCUUAGCUGGUCUGAGAGGAUGACCCGCCACACUGGAACUGAGACACGGUCCAGACUCCUACGGGAGGCAGCAGUGGGGAAUAUUGCACAAUGGGCGCAAGCCUGAUGCAGCCAUGCCGCGUGUAUGAAGAAGGCCUUCGGGUUGUAAAGUACUUUCAGCGGGGAGGAAGGGAGUAAGGUUAAUACCUUUGCUCAUUGACGUUACCCGCAGAAGAAGCACCGGCUAACUCCGUG
rnacentral:rRNA from 1 species